UUUUUUUUGUAAUUCUUCUUUUGUUUUAUAUGCUUGAGGGAAUAGAAUUUUUUUAUUAGUAUAAUUUCUUCUUUGCUUUGUAAUAUAACUUCUUCUUUGUAUUGUUGUUAUUACAUGUAGGUUGGUUUUAGAUUGUGAUAAUGGCAUCAUCUAGUGAAAGCGCAUCUGUAGUGGAAUGUUGGCCAAUUUCUGAUUGCAAAUCGAUGGUGUUGAGGCUUUGCUAAGAGAGGAAUCAUGCACCAGGAUUGUUUCACUAAGGGAGUUGUGUACCAAGUUGGUUCAAUUGAAGGAAGAGUUGCGAUUGAGUUGGUUCAACUGAGGGAGCAACAACAAAUGCAUUUCUUAGAGUUCCUGCGAAGGGGACAAAUCUAUGCAACUUUUGGAGAGCGGGUUGAAAGUGAAAGAAUAUGAGCUGUUGAGAAGGAACUUCAGUGACACUGGGAGCUUCAGCUUUGGAAUUCAGGAGCUCAUUGACCUUGGGAUCAAAUAUGAUCCAUCGAUGGACAUUUACGGCAUGGACUUCUUAGUAUUGGAACAACCUAUUUAUGGCAUGGACUUCGAAGUAGUAUUGGAACAACCUAUUUAUGAAAUGGACUUAUACAUAUUGGAACAACCUAUUUAUGAAAUGGACUUAUACAUAUUGGAACAACCUAUUUAUGAAAUGGACUUUUAUGUAGUAUUGGAACAACCUAUUUAUAGCAUGGACUUCUAGGUAGUAUUGGAACAACCUGGGUACUGGGUGGACCUUCACCAGAGGUGCAAGUCUUGUGUUGGGAUCCAGCAUCAGGUAACCAAGGAGGAUGUCAUGAAAUGGUUCUAGGCCAAAUAUGAGGGUGUUAUCCUUGACAAGUAAAACAAAACUUCCUAGAAAUCGAUCCAUUUAUUUUGAAUUUUGCAAGUUAUGCUUACAUGAUGCUGACAAGGAAAUGGAACUCUUUCAUUCUCU